UGGGAUGUGAGGUUGAUGAGUUUUUUUUAUUUUUAUUUUUAUUUUUUUGUUGGGUGUGUAUUUAGAGGCAGUUUGGGAAGAUAGUGAGCUUUUCUCAGAAGUUGUGAAAAUGUGAAUUAGAAAUUAGGGUGAACUUAGAAUAUGAAGUGAACAAAGAGAAUUGCGGAGUUUAAAUAGAAAAACUUUUAAUUUAUACCUAUUGAGUUGAAUAUGUCCCUUACCUGCAAGGAGGUAC
rnacentral:lncRNA from 1 species